rnacentral:lncRNA from 1 species
UUGUUACAUAAUACAUUAUCUAAGACUAAGUGUUUGUGAUGACGAGAUUCUUUUAAAUUGAAUCCCAAUCAAAGGAGUAAAAGCCUUAAGGAGACUGUAAGCAUGCUAUUGCAUUUUUGGCUUGGCUGCAUAGACGCAUUGAAGAUGCACCAUCUACUAUUAUCAACUGUUAGUGGAAAAAAUCAAAGUUGUCUGCUGUGGGUACAAAUCUAAUAAAAUUAUCCAUGCAUUAUUUAGUUAGCACCAGUUCAAGGCAACCAGAAAAGAUUUUCUACAAUUUUGUAAGUCUUCAAUAGACAUACAAGUAUGUGAAGUAAAUUUGCAACUAGGGAACAAUAAAUCUCUCCCUUAUGGCAUGAGCUUAGAUAUGCCAGAAUAACAGCAUCAAAAGUGUAUGAAGCAGCACAUUGUAAGGCAAUGCAUGGAUCUUUGACUGAAGCUAUAAUGGGAUCCUUAAAAUCAAAAGACACAGAAGCAAUGAAAAGAGGAAAAUUAUUAGAAAAUGCUGUUAUUAAAGAAGUAGAAAAUAUAAUGAAAAUAAAGAUUAAUUCAAGUGGAUUGCAUUUAAAUCCCUCAUAUCCUAUCAUAGGAGCAUCACCAGAUGGGGAAAAUGAAAUAUAUACGAUUGAAAUUAAAUGCCCUUCAUCUGGAAAAGCCUUGACAUUAUACUUAGAAAAUAAUUCAGACAUAUCUGCAAAAUAUCAAAAAAUAGUCAUUAUUGAUGUAGAAUAUAACAAGGAGUAUUGUGAAUACCUAUUUGAUAAAUGUACAGCUUUUUAGUGUUAAGCUAUUUUUCCUCUUUUGUUUAAAGAUAAAAAGGAAUAAAAGUAUAUUUA